CAUUUCCAUUGCAACAUUUAAUAAUGUCAUGUUAUCAUGCUGUCAUACUACACUGCAACUAACGUACUGACCGAUUUGAUCGUCAAUUUUCUACGGAAUCGAUGAAUCGAAUGCAUAUGUUCAAAUCGCUCGCCUUGCCAAUGGCCUAAAAUUGCGAACCUGAAACUGAAAUAUCAAAAGAAGACUCAACUAAUACUUAAAAGGAAAUAGAAGGAAGAUUUCACUCAUACCUACCGAACGUA